rnacentral:rRNA from 1 species
AGUGAACGCUGGCGGUAGGCCUAACACAUGCAAGUCGAACGGCAGCACAGGAGAGCUUGCUCUCUGGGUGGCGAGUGGCGGACGGGUGAGGAAUACAUCGGAAUCUACCUUUUCGUGGGGGAUAACGUAGGGAAACUUACGCUAAUACCGCAUACGACCUACGGGUGAAAGUGGGGGACCGCAAGGCCUCACGCGAUUAGAUGAGCCGAUGCCCGAUUAGCUAGUUGGCGGGGUAAUGGCCCACCAAGGCGACGAUCGGUAGCUGGUCUGAGAGGAUGAUCAGCCACACUGGAACUGAGACACGGUCCAGACUCCUACGGGAGGCAGCAGUGGGGAAUAUUGGACAAAGGGCGCAAGCCUGAUCCAGCCAUACCGCGUGGGUGAAGAAGGCCUUCGGGUUGUAAAGCCCUUUUGUUGGGAAAGAAAUCCUGUCGAUUAAUACUCGGUGGGGAUGACGGUACCCAAAGAAUAAGCACCGGCUAACUUCGUG